GACGAACCGUGCAAACGUUAUUCGGAAUCACUGGGCAUAAAGGGCGCGUAGGCGGUCAGCACAAGUCAGUUGUGAAAUCUCCGGGCUUAACUCGGAAAGGUUAACUGACACUGUGCGACUAGAGUGCAGAAGGGGCAACUGGAAUUCUCGGUGUAGCGGUGAAAUGCGUAGAUAUCGAGAGGAACACCUGCGGCGAAGGCGGGUUGCUGGGCUGACACUGACGCUGAUGCGCGAAAGCCAGGGGAGCGAACGGG
rnacentral:rRNA from 1 species